UACGUAGGGUGCAAACGUUAUCCGGAAUUAUUGGGCGUAAAGAGCUCGUAGGCGGUUUGUUGCGUCGGCUGUGAAAUCCCGAGGCUCAACCUCGGGUCUGCAGUCGAUACGAGCAAACUAGAGUGUUGCAGGGGAGACUGGAAUUCCUGGUGUAGCGAUGAAAUGCGCAGAUAUCAGGAGGAACACCGGUGGCGAAGGCGGGUCUCUGGGCAACAACUGACGCUGAGGCGCGAAAGCGUGGGGAGCAAACAGG
rnacentral:rRNA from 1 species